UAUUGAAACUCUCUGGUCAUUUUUUAAGGAGAUGCUAACGGUCUAAUCAGAUUCAAUGAACUAUGCUAAGCUAUGCUAAAAGUGGUACCGCCAGACCCGGAGAUCGGCUGAAUGGAUUCGAAAACGGUAAAACUCAACUGUUUAACUGUAGGGGAGUUGGAAAAUGAGCCUAUUUUCAAAAAAAGUGGAGUGUUCCUUUAAAUUCCCAAUCACUGAAGUAGGCCGUCAUCUUUACCUCAACCAUAUAGAGCAGUGUUGCCAUAGAAUACCUGAGAAAGGCUGUCACAUGAAAUGACUUUAUUAUUGAACUUGAGCCAAAAAACUUGUAGGGAAAAAAAAAAAAAAAAACUUUUUGUUUGUUUUGGUUGACUAAUAAUUCUCGCUGCAUACUUAAUGUGGACAUUGCAUUCUUAUUUGUUUUACAAGAGUGCUUACAUUUUUUUACCACACAUGCCUUUAUUUUGAAGUCUGGGAAAGGAAGUGCAGCGGCACCCUGUGUGUACAUUGGCUCACUUUUUACAUGAAGCGUCAUUCUGAUUUAAUGUUACCAGAGAAAGGAUGAACUUUUGGGUACACACUGUACAAAUGUUUGUUUAAAAAGGUUUCUUUCUACAUCUUAGCUCCUGGCUGAAGGGCACAAGCUCUUACGGUGUUUUUGGAAAUUAAAUUCUUUAUAAACAUCAGUUCAGCCGGGAAUGCUACACUAUCUUUGCAGAGGAGUGGAACUUCAAGCAUGUGACAUCCAGUCCUGGUUUUGCGCAAUCAAAUGGUCAAGCGGAAAGGACUGUGCAAACUGAAAAGAAUCUGUUGAAGAAUGUUUCCGAUAGUAUGAGUCUCAAGUUUCUGAUAACUCUCAUGAUGACCAAGAGCAGUCAUACCGUACCAGAUCUGGAAGAUUAGUGAGAAUACAAGAUACAGAGACUGAGUUUCAAUAUACAUGGUUCUAAAUCUUUUGAAUUUUGGCAUGUAUUACAUUUAGAUUACAUAGUUAGGAUAGUUUAUCAGUUUGUAGUUAUAGUAAAAUUUUAAUUGUGUUUGUAAUAAACUACAUGUUUUUGACUCUUGAAUUUUGUUGUGGAAUGCAAAUGUUGAUGUUAAAAAAAAAAAAACUUAAGAAGAGGGAUGUCAUAUAUGUUUAUAUUUGUGGAUGCAUUGUGUGCCCAGAAAGCAUCCGUAGUUGUCACAUGAGUUGAGAGUGGAAGAUAAUAAAAGAUACUGGCAUCUGAGCAA